rnacentral:rRNA from 1 species
GUGCUAAGGUAGCAUAAUAAUUUGUUUUUUAAUUGGAAACUAGAAUGAAAGGUUUCACUGAAUGUAUGAUUUUUUUUAAUACUAUUUGAAUUUUUAAUUAAAGUAAAAAUACUUUAAUUAAAUAAGGGGACGAUAAGACCCUAAAAACUUUAGAGGUGUUUUUAGUUGGGGUAAUUAUUGUGGGUUAAUUUUGAUGGUAAAAAACAAAUUGCUGUAUAAGGGGCUUAAAUAUAGAAUAAAUAAGAAUAGUUACUUUAGGGAUAACAGCACUAUUAAUUUGAUGAGUUCGUAUCUAAUAGUUAGAUUGUGACCUCGAUGUUGAAUUAAUAGGUCUUUUUAAGGUAGUUUGUAAAAAAGAGGGUUUGUUCAACCUUUAUUUUAUUACAUGAUUUGAGUUCAAAYCGGUUUAAGCCAGA